rnacentral:rRNA from 1 species
UACGUAGGGUGCGAGCGUUAAUCGGAUUUACUGGGCGUAAAGGGCGUGCAGGCGGUUUGUUAAGUGCAGGGUGAAAGCUCCCGGCUCAACUGGGAGAGGUCCUUGCAUACUGGCAAACUCGAGGGAGGCAGAGGAAAGUGGAAUUCCCGGUGUAGUGGUGAUAUGCGUAGAUAUCGGGAGGAACACCUGUGGCGAAGGCGGCUUUCUGGGCCUUACCUGACGCUGAGACGCGAAAGCGUGGGGAGCGAACCGG